rnacentral:tRNA from 1 species
GCCGUCGUGGCGCAAUGGUAGCGCGUCGCUUUCCUAUGAAUCACAUAGGCGAAGGUUGCGAGUUCGAUCCUCGUCGGCGGUA